rnacentral:tRNA from 1 species
GGAGAAAUGUCUGAGAGGUCUAAAGAGCUUGAUUGCUAAUCAGGUGUAUUUUAUUUUAUAAAUACCAAGGGUUCGAAUCCCUUUUUCUCCU